UAAUAAGUGUUUUAUGGCACUUUUUAAAUCCAUAUCCACCUUGUGUGCAAUGUCAGUCGAUCUUCUUCAUGGAGAUCGACCAAACAUCAACCUUUAUCUUUUAACUCUUUGUCUGAAAAAUAUUAUGGAAUAAACAGUUCAAAAUA
rnacentral:misc_RNA from 1 species